GUCCGCUUCGGCGGGGCUUCGGAAGGGGUCGCGUCAGGCCGCGCGCACCCGCUCCGGACCCGCCAGGGUCGGAUGGUGGUGGUGGCCGUGAUGGUGCGCGAUCCGCGUCAUGACGGCGGCGCUAUAGAACCGGGACGCCCCGGAGUCACGGUCGAAGUCACGGUCGAACUU
rnacentral:sRNA from 1 species